CUCCUUCUGUUAAAUGGAAGGUACCGCCUGCUCAAUGCUUUUAGUAAAUGGCCGCAGUAUCUUGACUGUGCUAAGGUAGCAUAAUCAUUAGUCUCUUAAUUAGAGGCUGGUAUGAAUGGCGAGACGAGAAAAUAGCUGUCUCUAGUAAAAUUUUUGAAUUUCAUUUCUAAGUGAAAAAGCUUAGAUUUAUUUGGAGGACGAUCAGACCCUUUGGAGCUUUAUUAGAAAAAUUUUUUACAUUUAUUUUAGAUAAUGGGAAAGUCUAUCUAAUUUUGUUGGGGCGACAAAGAGUAAAAAAUAUCACUCUUUUUAUUUAACAUAAAUAGAUGAAAAAUUGAUCCUUAAAGAAAGAUUAAAAGACUAAGUUACCCUAGGGAUAACAGCGUAAUCUUUUUAGAGAGUUCAUAUCGAUAAAAAGGUUUGCGACCUCGAUGUUGGAUUAAGAAAUUAGCAAGGUGCAGAAGUUUUGCUGGAAAGUCUGUUCGACUUUUAAAAUCUU
rnacentral:rRNA from 1 species